UGCAUUUAGCUGUGACGCUUGGAGUACCUUUCCCAGACUUGAACAGCUGUGUGUGGCUCGAAAGCUUGUCUCUCUCUCCAACAGAAGUUGGUCCAAUAAAAGAUAAUAUCUCACCCACCUUCUCUCACAAACGCUAACCAUGAGUGCUAGGAACACCUGCAAGUAAAAUAGAACCUGCUAAUAGCAGCGUCUGAUUCGCUAAACCUUAGUUCAUUAUCAUGUUCCUUUGUCAUGAAUUCUCAUGCUGCUCAGUGUCCUGAAUUAAAUAUUCUGAUUUAGCAGGAACAUUUGAAGGUGAGAAGCAUUGUGUGCUUUCCAAUAUUAGUUAAAAAGACCUUUUAAUUGCCUCUGUCAGAUGUCAAUAGUUAUCAACCUCAUUAAUGCCUUGACCAUGAAAUAACUUCAGCCCAAAGUCACUUGAAUUAAUAUUUAAUUGAUGGAUGUUCGGUUAAUGUAGACCAGCACCUGAAUAAGGUACUCCAUCUACUUUUACCCCUUCCAAAACUUGCAUUUCAUGUCUUUCUUUUGUCUACUGGACUUUAUAAUUUUGAGAUUACCUUAUUGUAUUCUGGUUUGUUUACUUGGAUACAAAACAGGCAGCACAAUUACUUUUUAUUCAAAUUUACUUCCUUUAGUAUUCAGAAAUAUACUUCCUGGAAUUCUUAAACAAAUAGUUUACCAAGGAAACUCACUGAUGUGAGGUAUCUGAGACAUGCCAACACUGAAGACAUGCCUGAGACAUGCCAACACUGAACUGAAAGCUAAAACAUGGCUGGAAAGAAGCAGAAUUUGUAGAUUAACAAUACUGCAGCAUUGAGGAGGAAAAGAAAAACUGAAAAGAAAUGCAGGUGCUGGAGUCAUCCUCUAACUUAAGAUGGCUUAUGGAAACUCAGGAAGAUUGGUUUGUACACCAUGGUGUGCCCUCAUGGUUCCUCAGAGUCAUCCCCAGAAAAUGAGAAUUGUUGAACUAUGAUAUUUCAGUAUAAUAGUAGGAAAAUAAUCAGCAUUCCUACUAUGAAACCUGUUCUCAGUUAAAAAUUGGACCAAGUUUGUUCGAACAAGACUGCCAUGAAGUGCCCUGUCCACACUUCAUGACUGAGGAGUUAAAUAAUGGAUGGUUCAUUAUUUCAGGAAAGAUUACAAAAUAUAAGACACUGGAAGACUUGGUGAACUUUCAUAAACAUAAUUCUAUCAGACCUUACAAUGAACUAUUAAUCCAACCACGUGGAUAGGAGAGUGAUUAAAAUACUGAUUGUGUGAGAAAACAAUUCUUCAUCGUUAUUUUAAAUAAUAAUAUGAGUUGUGCAAAUCUCUUAGUGGCUAUGCUCCCUGAGAAUCUGACUGAAACCAGUGGCGGCAUUUCAGGGUCCACAUAACACAGCAAACUAUUCCGGGAAACAGAACAAUGCAACUGAAUCUUCCAGCAAACCAGGAAGCUCUCCCACUCCAGCCCAGGACAGUGGCACCCAAAUGAUCCUUCAACAUUCGUGACAAAGAACCUUCUUCAACACAAACUGAUCGUCCUAGCUGCAGUUUGAAUGGACUUUAUGCUUCAGUUACAGAAGAAAUGAAGUCUGAGUCAAAUAGAUCUAAUAAGUAAAAUAGAUUUAAUAUCUGUAAUUAGACUAUCAAAUUUCAAGUUCUCAUUUAAAGCUUUUUGUAUUUACAACAUGGAAACCAAACAAACUAUUGAUAGAACAAUCUGAGUUGAGCUAUCAAUGGAGAAAACAUCUAAACUGAUGGAAAACAAUCUGUAAAACAACAGAACAGUCUAUAAUGGAUUAGGAAGAAUAUACUAGGAUAUUUAAGAAGGAUCAUGGAUUAAGAUUGAAUUUACCUUUAGAUACAAUAAAAGAUGCAAAUUCGUGUCCAAUAUAUAUAUAUUUUUGUAACAUCUUAAAGUAUUAACCUUUAGAGGCAUCUGUGGAGCAAUUCCACUUAAUCUUGGAGGAUUUCUCUAGCACUAGAAAAAGCUAAAGGAUGGCUUUUAACGUGAAAUAGUCAGAUAAAGACUUGAUAGUAAUGUACCAGGUAGGAUACUGUAUUUGCCUAACACACUGUUGGAAAGCUGUAUAUUUUUUGUAAGUUCUUUUAGGGCCUGGCUCUCUCUGAACUACAAAAAAUAGUUUAUUCUGAAAAUGACAGCAUGUUAUG